AACGUAGGACACAAGCGUUAUCCGGAGUUACUGGGCGUAAAGAGCGUGUAGGCGGCCUGAAAGGUCAGCUGUGAAAACUCGAGGCUCAACCUCGAGACGUCGGUUGAAACCAUCUGGCUAGAGUCCGGAAGAGGAGUGUGGAAUUCCCGGUGCAGCGGUGAAAUGCGCAGAUAUCGGGAAGAACACCCGUGGCGAAGGCGGCACUCUGGGACGGUACUGACGCUGAGACGCGAAAGCGUGGGGAGCAAACAGG
rnacentral:rRNA from 1 species